GGUCAUGAGCGCCAGCGUCAAGCCCCGGCUUGCUGGCCGGCAACCCUCCAACCGCGGUGGGGUGCCCCGGGUGAGGACCUGGCCGGUCGCGCAGGGCGACCCGGCAAGCGCGGGCC
rnacentral:ncRNA from 19 species